UAAAAGUCGUAACAAGGUUUCCGUAGGUGAACCUGCGGAAGGAUCAUUAUCGAGUUUUGACUGGGUUGUAGCUGGCCUUCCGAGGCAUGUGCACGCCCUGCUCAUCCACUCUACACCUGUGCACUUACUGUGGGCUUCAGAUCGUAAAACGGGUCCCUUUACCGGGCUUGCGGAGCGUGUCUGUGCCUGCGUUUAUCACAAACUCUAUAAAGUAUCAGAAUGUGUAUUGCGAUGUAACGCAUCUAUAUACAACUUUCAGCAACGGAUCUCUUGGCUCUCGCAUCGAUGAAGAACGCAGCGAAAUGCGAUAAGUAAUGUGAAUUGCAGAAUUCAGUGAAUCAUCGAAUCUUUGAACGCACCUUGCGCUCCUUGGUAUUCCGAGGAGCAUGCCUGUUUGAGUGUCAUGAAAUCUUCAACCUGCAAGCUUUUGUGGUUUGUAGGCUUGGACUUGGAGGCUUGUCGGCCGUUGUUGGUCGGCUCCUCUUAAAUGCAUUAGCUUGGUUCCUUGCGGAUCGGCUCUCAGUGUGAUAAUGUCUACGCUGCGACCGUGAAGCGUUUGGCGAGCUUCUAACCGUCUCAGUUGGAGACAACUUUAUGACCUCUGACCUCAAAUCAGGUAGGACUACCCGCUGAACUUA
rnacentral:rRNA from 1 species